rnacentral:rRNA from 1 species
AUUGAACGCUGGCGGAAUGCUUUACACAUGCAAGUCGAGCGGCAGCGCGGGGCAACCUGGCGGCGAGCGGCGAACGGGUGAGUAAUACAUCGGAACGUACCCAGUUGUGGGGGAUAGCCCGGCGAAAGCCGGAUUAAUACCGCAUACGACCUGAGGGUGAAAGGGGGGGAUCGCAAGACCUCUCGCAGUUGGAGCGGCCGAUGGCGGAUUAGCUAGUUGGUGAGGUAAAGGCUCACCAAGGCGACGAUCCGUAGCUGGUCUGAGAGGACGACCAGCCACACUGGAACUGAGACACGGUCCAGACUCCUACGGGAGGCAGCAGUGGGGAAUUUUGGACAAUGGGGGGCAACCCUGAUCCAGCCAUUCCGCGUGAGUGAAGAAGGCCUUCGGUUGUAAAGUACUCUUUCGGUCAGGAACGAAACGGUAGGGUCCGUAAUACGAUCUGCUAAUGACGGUACCUGAAGAAGAAGACACCGGCUAACUACGUGCCAGCAGCCGCGGUAAU